GACGAACCGUGCGAACGUUAUUCGGAAUUAUUGGGCUUAAAGGGCGCGUAGACGGGCUCUCGCGUCGGUCGCUGAAAGCCCCCGGCUCAACCGGGGAACGGGCACCGGAUACGGAGGGCAUCGAGUGGAGGAGGGGGACCCGGAACGUCCGGGUGGAGCGGUGAAAUGCGUUGAGAUCGGACGGAACGCCGACGGCGAAAGCAGGGUCCUGGACUC
rnacentral:rRNA from 1 species